AAUGGCAUCGGGAUAGCUAAAAUAAAACUGCAUCAGCAAGAAAACCUCCUGCCAUUUCAUCUUGCUCACACCUUCCAGGGAGACAGCAUUUCCUGACUUCGUUGAGGGUAAUUUUUCCUGUACCAGAAGCAUUGCCUCUGUUUGCAAAAGAGGCUCUCCAGGCAUCCAGGUUGUUCACUUGGGAUUGUUUCCUUGGCAUUUGGGACCCAGAUUUUCGCUGUUCUUGCACCAUCUCUCUUCACGCCACUGGUUAUGUAUGUGU